CAGCCGCCGCGGUAAUACGUAGGGGGCAAGCGUUAUCCGGAAUAACUGGGCGUAAAGGGUGCGCAGGUGGUUUAACAAGUUAGUGGUGAAAGGCAUAGGCUCAACCAAUGUAAGCCAUUAAAACUGUUUAACUUGAAUGCAGGAGAGGAAAGUGGAAUUCCUAGUGUAGCGGUGAAAUGCGUAGAUAUUAGGAAGAACACCAGUGGCGAAGGCGACUUUCUGGACGAAAACUGACGCUGAGGCGCGAAAGCUAGGGGAGCGAACGGGAUUAGAUACCCCGGUAGUCCCUGUCUCUUAUACA
rnacentral:rRNA from 1 species